rnacentral:rRNA from 1 species
CCUACGGGGGGCAGCAGUGGGGAAUAUUGCACAAUGGGGGAAACCCUGAUGCAGCGACGCCGCGUGAGUGAAGAAGUAUUUCGGUAUGUAAAGCUCUAUCAGCAGGGAAGAAAAUGACGGUACCUGAUUAAGAAGCCCCGGCUAACUCCGUGCCAGCAGCCGCGGUAAUACGGGGGAUGCGAGCGUUAUCCGGAUUUAUUGGGGUUAAAGGGUGCGCAGGCGGUGUGUAAGGUCAGCGGUCAAAGCCCGGGGCUCAACCCCGACCCGCCGUUGAAACUGGCAGCCUUGAGUACAGUUGAGGUAGGCGGAAUUCGUGGUGUAGCGGUGAAAUGCUUAGAUAUCACGAAGAACUCCGAUUGCGAAGGCAGCCUACUAAACUGCCACUGACAUUGAUGUUCGAAAGUGUGGGUAUCAAACAGGAUUAGAUACCCUAGUAGUC